ensembl:lincRNA
AAAUCCACAAAGAACAAGUGCUGGAGAGGGUGUGGAGAAAGGGGACCCUCUCACCCUGAUGGGGACGUAAACCGGCGCAGCUACCACGGAGACCGGCGUGCAGGCUCCUCAAACAAACUGAAAACAGGCCCACGACCCCGGAGCCCGCGGUGCGACUCAGACAGACGCGCACAGCCCGGCGGGGAGGGGCUGAGGGUCCACCCCAGCCACAGCAACACGGAGGGGCCCGGAGGCGACCCCGCGGAGCCAAGCCAGAGAAGACAAAUCCCACGUGCCACCGUUCACGUCCAGAAUCCAAAAUAUGCCACACGAACGGCCUGUGAAGCAGAGACAGCCUCACAGGCGUGCCAGGGCAGGCUUGCCAGGGGCCACAGGGGAGGCGGCGGCCAAGGCAGGUCCCAGGACAGCACAGCCUCAGGCAAGACCAGCCCCCUGGGCGUACCCAGGCUCUGCAGGAGCGGUGGUCAUGCACCUCACGGGCUCACACUGCCCUGGACCAGGCCCAGGGUCGCUGCUACUAACCGCUUUCUUCUGUGUUGGGACACGCAGCGUACUCUCUUAAAGUCAGGCACUGGACUGCCCAUGGAGAGCGUGACGCAGCACGUGUCACACACAUCCCACGCAAGCCUGCGUCUGAGGCCGCGCUCCCACCUGACCUGCAUGCUCACGCCCCAGGGCCCCCACGCGGCCGAGCACAGGCCCCCACAUCUAGCAGGUCGGGCUCCCACACAUGAGGCUGGCCCGCCUGCCCCAGGGCCCGGGAACCCACCUCGCGGGCAGGAGGCCCUGUGGCCAGCCCGGUCCUGAGGAUGGGGCUGGACCCUGAGCCUGGAGCCCAUGGGAACCUCGCCCUCUGAGUCCUCUCUCCAGAGAGACCCAGCCUGGCCCUCUGCCCACAGUCCCACCUGCAGGCCCUCGGAAGCGGGGGACCUGUCGACUUGAGCUCCGGCAGCGAGACUUUGCUCAGAGCACCAGGUCGAUGGAGCUCAGGGAGUGCGCGGCUGGACCGCCCACGACGCACCCGGCCCAGAUCUGGGGCAGGGUCGGGGAUUGCUCUGCCAUCAACUGUCCCAAAUGCAGCCGGGGAUAACCUCCAGUCCUGCAACUCCAGACCCACUGUCUACAGGGGUCAGCCGUGAGGAGUAGACUACUGCUGACGCGGCGACAGCCGAUAACGCCCGGGCCACCGCAUUUGUGUGACGCCCCAGACAGGAAGGCCCAGGCACACGGCAGACACUGCGGAGUGGCGCCAGGCUACACGGAAGCCACACGUGACCAUCUGCACGCUGCAGGUGGCUGCCCCCGGGGGCUCCGUGCCGAUGCACAGGGUCUCUUAAAGGAAAGGAAGGCCGGCGCCACGUGUCAACUGCAGCCUGGCUGCUGACGAUGCUCCCUGCGCCUGGAUCCAGGGUCUGCGGCAGCGGGCCAGCCUCUCCUGGCCAGGCCCUGCGCAGGGCAGAGCCCACUGCCUGCCACCAGAGUGGGGUCUCUCCUCUCCCUGCCGCCCCCCGCCCCCAGCCGCGAGCUCAGGGGUGCUCGCCCAGACGGACAGCCCCGCCCCACCCCCGGGGGCCUCACCCAGACGGACAGCGAGCGGUCCUUGCUGCCUACGGCACAGCAGCAG